GUCUACGGCCAUACCUGAAAGCGCCUGAUCUUGUAGGAUCUCGGAAGCUAAGCAGGGUCGGGCCUGGUUAGUAAUUAGAUGGCAGACUGCCUGGGAAUACCAGGUGCCGUAGGCU
rnacentral:rRNA from 1 species